GAUGAACGCUAGCGACAGGCUUAACGCAUGCAAGUCGAGGGGCAGCACAGGUAGCAAUACCGGGUGGCGACCGGCGCACGGGUGAGUAACGCGUAUGCAACUUACCUAUCAGAGGGGGAUAACCCGGCGAAAGUCGGACUAAUACCGCAUGAAGCAGGGGUCCCGCAUGGGGAUAUUUGCUAAAGAUUCAUCGCUGAUAGAUAGGCAUGCGUUCCAUUAGGCAGUUGGCGGGGUAACGGCCCACCAAACCGACGAUGGAUAGGGGUUCUGAGAGGAAGGUCCCCCACAUUGGUACUGAGACACGGACCAAACUCCUACGGGAGGCAGCAGUGAGGAAUAUUGGUCAAUGGCCGAGAGGCUGAACCAGCCAAGUCGCGUGAGGGAUGAAGGUUCUAUGGAUCGUAAACCUCUUUUAUAAGGGAAUAAAGUGCGGGACGUGUCCCGUUUUGUAUGUACCUUAUGAAUAAGGAUCGGCUAACUCCGUG
rnacentral:rRNA from 1 species